CCUACGGGAGGCAGCAGUGGGGAAUUUUGGACAAUGGGCGCAAGCCUGAUCCAGCAAUGCCGCGUGCAGGAUGAAGGCCUUCGGGUUGUAAACUGCUUUUGUACGGAACGAAACGGUCUGCUCUAAUACAGUGGGCUAAUGACGGUACCGUAAGAAUAAGCACCGGCUAACUACGUGCCAGCAGCCGCGGUAAUACGUAGGGUGCGAGCGUUAAUCGGAAUUACUGGGCGUAAAGCGUGCGCAGGCGGUUAUAUAAGACAGAUGUGAAAUCCCCGGGCUCAACCUGGGACCUGCAUUUGUGACUGUAUAGCUAGAGUGCGGCAGAGGGGGAUGGAAUUCCGCGUGUAGCAGUGAAAUGCGUAGAUAUGCGGAGGAACACCGAUGGCGAAGGCAAUCCCCUGGGCCUGCACUGACGCUCAUGCACGAAAGCGUGGGGAGCAAACAGGAUUAGAUACCCUGGUAGUCCACGCCCUAAACGAUGUCAACUGGUUGUUGGGUCUUCACUGACUCAGUAACGAAGCUAACGCGUGAAGUUGACCGCCUGGGGAGUACGGCCCGCAAGGUUGAAACUCAAAGGAAUUGACGG
rnacentral:rRNA from 1 species